UACGUAGGGACCGAGCGUUGUCCGGAAUCAUUGGGCGUAAAGAGCGUGUAGGCGGCGACUUAAGUCCUGCGUGAAAUCUUGCGGCUCAACCGCAAGCGGUCGUGGGAAACUGGGUGGCUAGAGUGCGGGAGAGGAGAGUGGAAUUCCUGGUGUAGCGGUGGAAUGCGCAGAUAUCAGGAAGAACACCCGUGGCGAAGGCGGCUCUCUGGGACGGUACUGACGCUGAGACGCGAAAGCGUGGGGAGCGAACAGG
rnacentral:rRNA from 1 species